rnacentral:tRNA from 1 species
GCCCGGGUGGCGAAACUGGUAGACGCAAGGGACUUAAAAUCCCUCAACCUUCGGGUUAUGUCGGUUCGAUUCCGACCCUGGGCACCA